rnacentral:rRNA from 1 species
UACGAAGGGGGCUAGCGUUGCUCGGAAUCACUGGGCGUAAAGGGUGCGUAGGCGGGUCUUUAAGUCAGGGGUGAAAUCCUGGAGCUCAACUCCAGAACUGCCUUUGAUACUGAAGAUCUUGAGUUCGGGAGAGGUGAGUGGAACUGCGAGUGUAGAGGUGAAAUUCGUAGAUAUUCGCAAGAACACCAGUGGCGAAGGCGGAUCUCUGGACAGCUCCUGACGCUGAGGCGCGAAGGCUAGGGGAGCAAACGGG